rnacentral:rRNA from 1 species
CCUACGGGUGGCAGCAGUGAGGAAUAUUGGUCAAUGGUCGCGAGACUGAACCAGCCAAGUAGCGUGAAGGAUGACUGCCCUGAGUAUUGUAAACUUCUUUUAUAAAGGAAUAAAGUGAGGCACGUGUGCCUUUUUGUAUGUACUUUAUGAAUAAGCAUCGGCUACCUCCGUGCCAGCAGCCGCGGUAAUACGGAGGAUCCGAGCGUUAUCCGGAUUUAUUGGGUUUAAAGGGAGCGGAGAUGGGUUUGUAAGUCAGUUGUGAAAGUUUGGGGCUCAACCGUAAAAUUGCAAUUGAUACUGGCAGUCUUGAGUACAGGUGAGGUAGGCGGAAUGCGUGGUGUAGCGGUGAAAUGCUUAGAUAUCACGAAGAACUCCGAUUGCGAAGGCAGCUUACUAAACUGCCACUGACAUUGAGGCUCGAAAGUGUGGGUAUCAAACAGGAUUAGAUACCCCAGUAGUC